rnacentral:lncRNA from 1 species
CAAGCGGAGGCUGUGGCGCUGGGGUUGGUUGGGAUGGAAGCCGUCAGGCCUGGGUUGUUGGGAAGGCUGGGAAGGCAGAGCCGUGUCUCCUGGGGGUGUUUGGAGAGCCCCCCGGAGUGGCAGUGCAGGGGAGGGCAGGGCUCACCUGGCUGUACUUCCAGAUGCUGGCUUUGGCACGACCAGCGGAGGGGCCUUCGGGACGUCGGCCUUCGGCUCCAACAACAACACGGGAGGCCUGUUUGGGAGCACCCAGACAAAGCCAGGCUUGUUUGGGUCGACGACCUUCAGCCAGCCAGCCACAUCCUCCACCAACACUGGCUUCGGCUUUGGGACAUCCACGGGGACCUCCAACAGCCUCUUUGGAACCACCAGCACUGGUGGAGGCCUCUUCUCGUCCCAGAACAACGCCUUUGCUCAGAACAAACCCGCUGGCUUUGGGAACUUCGGUACGAGCACCAGCAGUGGGGGGCUCUUUGGGACCACCAACACCACCUCCAACCCCUUUGGGAGCACCUCUGGCUCCCUCUUCGGCCCCACCAGCUUCACUGCUGCUCCCACUGGCACGACUAUUAAGUUCAAUGUAAGUUCUGGUUUUCUUCUCAGCCUGUUCAGUGUGGGGAGCAUUACAUGCUGCAGGUAUUGAUGUUGUGUCUCGGUCACUGAGGUGAAGGAGUGAGGAGUUCAAAUGCAAGUGUUCUGCAGUGGUGAGGAACUGCUGGAGUGGAAAUAGGAGGUGUAAUUAAUUCCAUAAACUAGGUUUGUUUUUCUCCUGAGCUUCACCAAGUUCUCAAACACUGUGAAAUUCCAGACUUGCUGGGUUUAGAGCUGUGUUAAUGCCAAAGGGGUAAAGCAGCUCUUAAAGCUGAGCCUUCGCAGGAAGUGCCACAGAAUUCCAGGUGAUCCAUGGCAAAUAAAGGUAAAAG